CCUACGGGACGCACCAGUGGGGAAUCUUGGACAAUGGGCGAAAGCCCGAUCCAGCAAUAUCGCGUGAGUGAAGAAGGGCAAUGCCGCUUGUAAAGCUCUUUCGUCGAGUGCGCGAUCAUGACAGGACUCGAGGAAGAAGCCCUGGCUAACUCCGUACCAGCAGCCGCGGUAAGACGGGGGGGGCAAGUGUUCUUCGGAAUGACAGGGCGUAAAGGGCACGUAGGCGGCGAAUCGGGUUGAAAGUGAAAGUCGCCAAAAACUGGCGGAAGACUCUCGAAACCAAUUCACUUGAGUGAGACAGAGGAGAGUGGAAUUUCGUGUGUAGGGGUGAAAUCCGGAGAUCUACGAAGGAACGCCAAAAGCGAAGGCAGCCCUCUGGGUCCCUACCGACGCUGGAGUGCGAAAGCUAGGGGAGCGAAUGGGAUUAGAUACCCCUGUAGUC
rnacentral:rRNA from 1 species